rnacentral:lncRNA from 1 species
GGGAGCUAGGAAUCAUUAAACUGCCUACGUAUCUCAUGAGGAAAAUCUUCGAUACCCCCCAGCGCUCAGAAGCGUGCCAGGAAGGCACACGCCAUCCUCUGAGCAGUGGUAACUUUAGCACAUGGAACCAGUUAAGUUUACACAUCCAAACCAUGACAGAAAAAGGAGGACUUUAGUCUGCGCGUUUCUGAGAUGUGUGCAAGUCAUACUUACAUGAUAAGCAUUUUUAAUUUGUGUUUCUCUGGCGUAAGUUUUUAUCUUUAUGAUUGUUUGUAGAAUUGGUUUUCAUUGGCCCAGCUGGUUCAUCAUCGUCUGGGACUUCGUCUGGCCGCUUCCUUUUCUCAUAAAUAACUAUGAUGAAAACGAGGAUAAAAAU